GCGCUAUUUUGCGCUAUAACAAUAAAUGGUUUUUCGUAAUAAGUAUCUUGGACCCGAAGGCAGAAUUCGGCACCUCCACCA
rnacentral:tmRNA from 1 species